UAUAAUUCCUUUAAUUUUGAUUAGGAGUUUAUUGCACGUUUUCUAUGUAAAAAAAAAAUCUUAAAACAAUAUUUUUCCUUGAUAUCCUGCUUUGUUACCCUUGCCGUUUGGCUAACAAUCAGUUGAUGAAUUCAUUAGAGCACAUUGAUAAUAUGUUUUGACUUUUAAUCUGUUGAUGCAGUGGCAGAUGGGUUGAGGUUAGGCCAACUGUUUAUUACAUGUAAGUACUAUGUAUAGGUCCAGUCAAAUCCUCUGCACGGCCAGCUUUCCUUGUUCCGGAGAUGAACAAAGGGUCUUUACUACAACUGUAACAUCGGUCAAAUUUGUUGUUUUCCAGAUCAGGAAAUAUUCUGCUUGAUUGAAAAGAAUUAGUGAUGUAAAGGAAACAAGGAUAAGUUGAGAAUGUAGUUUGGUGUUUUUAUUGCAUGUGUUGGUAACUUGGUGAUGAGAAAAAACUCGACUUCCGCAAAAAUUGAACGCAUCAACCAAAUUACUUCGUCUUUUUUUUU